rnacentral:lncRNA from 1 species
UACCAACAAGCUAGCGAUGAGAGUAGUAUCAAAAAGUGGUUCACCAUUAGUAAGUAGUAAACCAAACCUUGUUUUCUACAGAAGUGUCGACAUCUUGGUGUCAAUAAUACCGGCGCGAGACAUAAAUCAGAAGUCAUAUUUGGUUUGAGAUAGAUAAUAUCCAUCAGAAAGUAGAUGAAACUUCAACACCCUAAGAAACUCAGAUACCCAAAUCCUCCAUUCAAAAACUACAUAUUGAAGAAUGUUUAAGCUCAGCAAUACCAUCAGGUCAUCAAAAUCCAAUCAUAAAUCAAUGUCAUCAACGUAUAGUAGAAAAGAACGUGCAUGAUAAGCUUCUUGAGAAAUAGUGAUGAAGCAUAAUCACUACUGAAAAGAACCCAAACUGAAAAAUAGUGAAACCUAAAUUAGCAAACCAAGGCUCGGGAGGCUUGGCUUAAGUUCAAUAUGAGCCACCGACGCAUAUACAGAUCUUGUGAGGAGCAUGACAUAGCUAGGGAGGAGUCAUAUAUACUUCCUCUUGCAAGUCCCUAUUGAGAAAAUCUUUUUCACAUCUAUUUUGAAAAGACCACAUCUAUGGAAUUGCCGCAAUAUUAAUAAGAGUCCGAAUAUAAGUAAGGCGAUCAACAGGAGCAAAAGUCUUCUCCUAAUCAAUCCCAGAUUCUUGAAUAAAGCCACGGGCACCCAUAACGUGCUUUAAUCAUUUAAUAGCUCAUCAUCCUGAGUCUUAGUCCGUAUACACCAUUUGCCAUCCUCCUGUUGAUUGUCAACGACAGUCACCAUGUCUCAUGUGUUUUAUCAAGAGUACUAAUUUAUCUUUCAUCGCUUUUUUUCCAUCAAGUUAGAGGAGACCUCAUAAAAAUUUGAGGCUCAGCACAGUCUAAAGAGCAAAAUAAUAGUUGAUAAAUCACAAGAUUGAGAGGUGUCAGUUUCUUACUCUGGUGGCACAACGAGUAGGAGGGAGGAACAAAUGGCAGAAGCCACUGACAGGGAAAGCAUUGGGCCCGUCCCUGGCGCAGGAUGUUAGACUUGGGAUGAAGAGAACCUACAGAAGAGGGAGAAGUAACAAGGCGAGAUAAUAUCUAAUAAUGGGUCUGUAAGAAGGGUGACCAAGACUAUGGGUUGAUGUAGGGGUUUUGGAGAUAUUAAAAAGUUAAACAUCUUCCCAAAUUCAACAUGUCCGAGAAAUAUGAAGCGUUUGGAGAUAGGGUUCAUAACAACGAUAACCUUUAUGUUCAAUCUCAUACCCUAAGAAACACAAAGUCGCGAACUAUAUUUAACUCUUGUGUUCAUGAAUUGAGUAAGAACAAAAGCAUCGCCAUAACCCUAAAAACACAAAAUUUAUAUUAUGAGGAGUGCUAUAUAGCCGUUAUAAGGUGAUAUGUUGUCGGGACCAAUGAUGUGUACCAUUUAAGUGUAUACGCCUGAGGGCAUAUCUUCCAAAAAGACUCGUGAUAGAAACAGAAAUAAGAAGAACCAGACAUUAUCCAGAUAAUGCCGAAUUUGCAUUCUGUACGGCCAUUUUGUUGAGAAAGGUACCAGAGGCAUGAUGAUGGGGAAGUGUGCCAUAAAUUGUUUAAAGAAUUUCUUAAAAAAUUAGUUGUUUAUAUUCCUUGUGCAUUAUCAUAAGAAAAAUUUUAAUUUUGCGAGAAAACUACGUUGAAUCAUUUCUGAAAUUCAAUCAUACCUAUAAAUAAAUCAGAUCUACUAUGCCUAGAUAAACCCUGUAUACCGGAGUAAUCAUUACAAAAAUGAUAAGAUACGAAAAAUAGGCAUAGUAGAUAUGGGAGAGGGGAGAGGGGCCCCCCCUAUUAGAGUGAUAAGGUCAAAAAGUUGUCAUAGAAAGAGAAUCAUUAUUUAAAAAGAUAUGCAAUUGUUUCCCUUUUGACAAGCAAGACCAUGAAAAUUCGUUUCAGUUUUGACACACACCACUCAAAUAUUACGAGAUACUAAUGGUUUUGUAAUUUUGAAUAAAGACAGUCAUGACCUAAGCGAGAAUUCUAGAGGCUAAGAGAAACAUGGCUACUUGGACUAUGAUGCAGCAGCAAUAGAUUGAGGAGGAAUAUUAAGAGACUCCAACUCAAACAAACUUCCAUUUUUACGGUUGUGGCCGCAAUAAUGUUUUUUCCGUUUGUAGAUCCAAAUCAGCAACUAGAGUUGAAAAAAAUAAGUGUAAACCAAGCUCACACAGUUGACUCAACAGAUAACAAUUAUGAGAAAGAGCAGAACAGAUAAGUAUGGGGUCCAUAUUAAGAUUAGUGGUAGCGAUAAAUAUCAUAUGAGUAGUAGUUUUAUAAGAGAGUAUUGGUAAUGUGAAUAGGAUGCACAGAUGAGGUGGUAUUGCGACAGAAUAAGACAGUAAUCAAAUCCUAUGAUGAUUGCAACAUGCAGUAUAUCAAAAGCCAGGUAAAAUACUUUGAAAUGGGUUGAGAGAGCAGAUUAAUGAAUUUAGUGGCGUGAUACAAUUUGGUACUAUUGUACCGACAUCAGCAGGCAGUAGAGUGGAUGACGAAGUAGAAGCAAGGGGAUGGCCCAGUAGAGUCGGUUACACAAACAAUCUAACAGUAAGGAACCUUUUUAUUUUUGGGUUUGUUGUGGGAGCGACAAUCCUCAUAAGCCUAUUGUCAUGUCUACAAAAGCUGCAAUUUUCUUUUGGGAGCUAGAUGAUAUAGUCUUCGAGCCAGUAAACCUAACAGGCUGAGAGGAUUGUGGUAGAGGUGUCCAGGAAGGUAUAGCCAGAACAGGAUGAGAAUGUUGAUGCAAAGUCAUGGUUUUCUUGCGAGUCUCCUCAGAUCUAAGCUGGCCAGGGCUUGGCCAAUAGUAGGAGUAGAUGCGAUGAAGAAGAGAGGCCCGUGUAUUUUAUAAUCAGGACAGAAUAGCCAUGAGAAGUGGCAGACGAGAAACUGUCUCAGUAGGCAUAAAGGUUACUCUACAAACAUCGGUGGAUAAGCUAGAUAGGCUCGAAUAGCUAAGUGGGGAUUCCAUAGAUUUGACAUCUGCUAGUAGAAAUCAGUAAGAGGCUAACCCAUUUUGAAACAGAAUGGGGAAGCUGCAAGUCCCACUGAUACUCACUGGCGCCAUCAAUAGAAACUAUCGCUCAAGCCAAUACUUCAUAACCUCUUUAGCAGUCUCAAAUAAUAAGAGUGAAUGGAUGGAUGGAACUGAAGUGUUGGAACCAGAUGAAUACUCUUAGGAGUUGUCGCUAUUAUUCUUUCAAGCUUGGAUCGGUACUUUUGCAUGAGAAUCCUCAAUCAUCUUCAGCGAAAUCGAAAACUGGGUUGGUUAGCAUCUCAUGUGAUAUAUUUUUAGAAUUUUCGGGCUGAAGGACCGUUGCACAUGGCAGAGGACCAAGGCUGAUUGUUGGAUUCGCGAGAAUGAUGGAAAUAGGUUGAGAGACUUUCGAUUGGCCAUUGUUUUUUGAUUUUUUGAUGCUAAACUGUAAUUAAAAGUUCAGUGGCUUCCUGCUUUAUAAUUUAACCGAAAGUGCUCUGCUUUGCGUUGACGUGGCUCUGCCGUGAGCUGACAAUGACUCUGAGUGUGCAACAGUGGCUGAGUAGGUGUGGUGGGCUGAGUGGUGCGUGGAUUCACUCGCGUCUCUUCUUUAUGGCGCGUGUGGGCGCAUGGAUCGACCGCCGAUGAACUUGAUGGCAGGUGAGGGGCUUUGUGGCGGCUGUUUUAUAAUGUUUUUGGUAAUCGUCCUUUUCACUUUGGUGCAUCAAAGAGAUAUUUGAGAAGGAUUUUGUCAUGACCCGGGCUCGAUAGUGGCUUUUUUGGUGGUUUUCGGACUGGUUUCGAGCUUUUGAUGGGUUGUAGAGUGUUUAGGCCUUUGUAUCUAGGUAUAUAGUCAGAGGUUAUGUUCUUCGCCGGGCUGCCAAGCAAUGCCGGAUGUUAGCGUAAGAGUUAGGUCACAGAGCGUGGCUCUGAUGCCAUGUUAAGAAGAAGUUGGAGAGAGAGAGAGAGAAGGAGAGAGAGGAAAUUUAUGUGUAUUGUAUUCAGUAAAUGAAAUGGUACAGAUGAGUCCUCUUUAUAUAGAGGAUGGUCAAAAAAGAAUGAUUUACAUAAUGUACUGAAUAUAAUAUAAAUAAAGUAAUCGUAUCAAUCAAUAUAUAUUAUGAUAUAUAAUAUAUUCUGAAUAUUAAUUAGAAAGAUAUUCAGAAUAUAUUAUAUAUCACAAAAUAUAUCAUAAAUAUAUGUUAACACCGAGCAUGCGGCCACACGGAGUGAGAUGUCCAAAUGCUGCGUGUGCGUGUGUGUGCGCGUGUGUGUGAGAGAGAGAGGCAUUGAUAUUGGCAAAUGUAGUUGGCACGUAUAAUUCCACUCGUUGGCCUCUCCACUAAUUGAAGAGACUUGGGAAUAAAUUAUUAUCCUACACAGACAAGCUUAGUUGUUUCCAUCUGUUGCCUACCAAAUGACUCGUACAAUUUUGUGGCUCAUGGCAUGCAAUUUGAGAGCCCGCAAAUGGUUGUGACAUUAACAACCAAUAACAAUGUGCAUGGCCUGCAGGGUCAAAUCAGUCAAUUGAAUGCCCAUGGGGCGUGCUUCCCAACUUGACAGCUGGUUGGAUGUGAAAAUUGCAGGAUUAGUAUUGGAGAGGAAAAUGCAAAAAUCACAUAAAUGCCCCUUUCUAUCAUCGUCCCUCACUAUGCUUCUAUAGUGUGUGUGUUUCAAGUGGUUGUAUGGCCUGGUGUGGAUGUUUGGUUCGUGUGGUGGAGGCAAGGAGGAUCAAAAUUGUAUGAAGCUUUGUGAAUUGUUCUUUCACCUAAUUAAGCAAAUCUCUAAUGGCAAUAUUUACGCCAUUUGCCGGCCAUUAUCCUUUCAUCGAAGGAUUUUUCAUUUAUUUAUUUAUUUUUAUAUUUAGUAGGGGUUCAUUAGUCGAGGAAUAGAUGAAGUUUUAUUUCAUUUCGCAAAGGUAAGUUUAAAACUCAACACCCAACUUUGUAAAGAAACUUUUUAUCCAAUAGAUCAACCCCUCCAUCUUAACCAAAAGUAAAUAUCCUUUCGUGUCUGCAAGCCAUAUCCAGUUUUCACUCAUAUUGCAGUUUUUUGCCUUGGUGUUUUGUUUUGAAUUAAAGAUUUGUAAAAAAAAAUAAUGAAUUCAACGAGCAAAUUUAAUUUUUUUUUAUUUCUUUUUUUUCUCUUCACAAAUAUAGCCAUAAAUUUUUUAUCAAAUACAAACCUUAUGGUGCACUUCCACCUCACAUUUCAUAAAUUCAGAAGUGCAACAAAAUAGAGGUAGAAACAAUUUUUUUUUUUCUUUCAUUUAAAAUCACAUAAAGGUACGAUACAAAUGUCCACUAAUAUAUAUGGACAAAUGAAAAAUCUCACCAAGGGUUGGCUAGGGAAUAAGGCCAAAGAGUCUAUUUUAAAAAGGCUACAUGGAUAAACCUCAAUACCGAUUGGCUUAUGGUGGACUUUUUUAUUAUUUUAAUUGCUUUACUAAGGCUCUUUUGGACGAAGUAAUUAGACAGAGAUUUGUGGAUCAAAAAGAAAAGUAAAUGAGAGAUUAAUUCUGAAACGCUAGAUUUAUCAAUUUUCUUCUUUUGUUUUUCUUUUUCCUCCGCUAAAUCUUUAAUUGAAAGAGGGCAUUCACCAUCAACACAAGGACUCUUUUCUGUCAUUAACUUAUUUUCAAGUCAUUCUGAAGAUAUGGUGCUGAUAUAGUGAUAUAGAGAUGCCAGUGACAUUUCUGAUUAGGACUCUUUUCUGUUGUUAACUUAUUUUCAAGUCAUUAUGAAGAUAUUGUGCUGAUAUGGAGUGCACAUAUCUGAUUCCACUACAAUGUGAGGGCUUUUGAUGGAGUGCACAUUGCUUUUGAUGGAGUGAAUUCAGACUAAUCAAUUCACUGUAUUUAACCCUCAUGAUCUCAUUUGAGUAAAAAAUAAUCUAAUGGAAUCAAACAAGCCAAUCCAUUCACCUCUUUGGAGGAAAAUUAUCUCAUUUUAAGAGAUUUGAUUCAGGCUGAGUAAUUAUUCACCAUCCAUUGAGCCUAACUCAUCAUGCUCUUAUGGUGGUUCCCAAUUAUUCGUAUCAGACACAAGCUUAAUGAAUUUCUUUCUCCAAACUAUGUUAUUAUUGCCAAUUUCAUACAGGGAGCCGCACCAAAGUAACAUAUUUCAAAAAUGGUGCAUCCACAUGUCAAUAUAACAUUAUCGCAAUCGAUCGCAAUAUUCACUACAACUUAUCAUAACAUCAAUAUUCACAUGCAACUUAUCAUUAACAUGAAAAAGGUCCGUAACAACUUUUUUGAACCACAAAAGGUCGUAACAUUUAUCACAAUGAUGUAUAUACACUAUUUUUUUUAAAAAAUAACAUACAACCCCCUUAACAUUCAUCAUACCGUCAUAAUAUACAACAUAAUCGUCGUAAGGUUGGUUGAUAUAGGUGGAUAUCCAUCUAGAAUUUUGCCAUUCAUUACAUUGUUAAACUAGAAUGGCCAGUGCUAGCACCACAUAGCCCAAUUUUCUUUCUCUAACCAAGAACUCUCAUGUUUGCCAUAUUAUUGUAGACUUCUAUGCCAAAUACUCAUCUCUUUGGUCAUGAGUAGCCACAACAGAAAGAGGUUUUGAAGAAUAGAACACGGUCGAGGGUAGAAUUUUUAUAGCAGCAGCUACUUGGGGGACGAAAAACAAAGGUGUUUGUGAAUAUCAACUAAUUAAUCAACUUAGGUAUACCUAAGACGAGAAAAGAAGUAAGAUCCAUACCCUAGCAACUCAAUAAUAAAAUCUGGCAUCUGCACUCUCUUAACGAACUGCAUAUACGCUUUUACAGAUUUAAGCAGAGGGGUAAAAACGACAAUUCUUCAUUGGCUUUAGCGAUUUCAUUGCCUCCAUUGCUACAUGGUAAUACAGAUAAUUCUUAUGAAAAAAAAGACACUAAAUUUCUGAGUCAAGAAAUAGGUUGCUACAAGAACAUAGUGAUGAGAGUGUUGCCUCUACCAGAUGAUAAAAAAAUGACUA